AACGAACGCUGGCGGCAUGCCUAACACAUGCAAGUCGAACGAGACCUUCGGGUCUAGUGGCGCACGGGUGCGUAACGCGUGGGAACCUGCCCUUAGGUUCGGAAUAACUCCCCGAAAGGGGUGCUAAUACCGGAUAAUGUCUUCGGACCAAAGAUUUAUCGCCUUUGGAUGGGCCCGCGUUGGAUUAGCUAGUUGGUAGGGUAAAAGCCUACCAAGGCGACGAUCCAUAGCUGGUCUGAGAGGAUGAUCAGCCACACUGGGACUGAGACACGGCCCAGACGACAGCGGGAGGAAGCAGGGGGGAAUGGGGGACAAGGGGGGAAAGGUGGAGAAAGUAUUUCCGCGGGAAUGAUGAAGGCAGGAGGGGGGGAAAGCGCUGGGAACAGGGAGGAGCAGGCAAGUACGGUAAGAAGAAAAGACGACUAAACGAGGG
rnacentral:rRNA from 1 species